rnacentral:rRNA from 1 species
AACGCGAAGAACCUUACCUGGGCUCGAAAUGUUGUGGACCGGGGUAGAAAUAUCCCUUCCCCGCAAGGGGCCGCAAUAUAGGUGCUGCAUGGCUGUCGUCAGCUCGUGUCGUGAGAUGUUGGGUUAAGUCCCGCAACGAGCGCAACCCUUAUCUCCAGUUGCUACCAUUUAGUUGAGCACUCUGGCGAAACCGCGCAGGAUAACUGCGAGGAAGGUGGGGAUGACGUCAAGUCCUCAUGGCCUUUAUGUCCAGGGCUACACACGUGCUACAAUGGUCGGUACAAACCGUCGCAAACCCGCGAGGGGGAGCUAAUCGGAAAAAGCCGGCCUCAGUUCGGAUUGGAGUCUGCAACCCGACUCCAUGAAGCUGGAAUCGCUAGUAAUCGCGGAUCAGAACGCCGCGGUGAAUACGUUCCCGGGCCUUGUACACACCGACUGUAC